CUUAAACCAUGCCACAAAAGCUGGCAGGGUGAUCAUACCUCAUUAACAAGGACUGCAGGCGAGCAGACCCAGCUCUGCACGAUUCAGCGAGGAUGUGGCUGGGUCACCAGGAAAGCACCCCUGGCAGCAGGCAUGGCUGAGAACUGUGAGCUCUGGUUUCCCAGCUCUGCCUUGAGUGACUGUCAGACACCCUUCCUCGAUGACACCAGGUGAUUAUGAUACAAGUGCCAAUGGAAGCCCACAACCUGGUAAGAAAGACAACUUCAUUGCUUAAUUAAAUCUGUUAUUUAAAAUUACCAGUCUCCCUCUACAAACAUUCUGCUUCACCAACAGAAACAAGACCAUUUAGAAGCGGUAAGGGGACAACACUGUCUUGCUUUCAAAAUCUAGCAAUUCUUCACACAGGCUUACCUAGAACAGAAGACUCCUGAACAGACACCAGCUCCUGCCCAAGGAUCUAAUGCAGAAUCACAGGUCCCUCCCUCAUGGUGGGGGACUUUGAAGAAAGCCAGAAGCAUCUUGUUUUAUGUGACAGUGACACCAAUCCCCCAAGACAGUUUUCCACUGUAACUACAGAGUCAGAAGACAUAUCAACUCAAGGUCCUUUUUCUUGAUAACAAAGGGUCUGUAAAGCAGUGCUGCUUUCAAAAGAAACCCCUCCUGACUAAACUUCCAAAGAACAUCCCAGGAACAGACUGAAGAUCCUUUUAAUCACUCGUCUAGAUAAAGACACCAGGGAGCUGAAGACCCACCCAAGAAGAGGCCACGGCACGAAGGUCACUUUCUCCUGGAAAAAUUUAGUGUUGUCCAGCAAUGAGGAGCAAAGACUAAAUUAAAUAUAACUGAGUAUAACCAAAGGCAACAAGAAAAAAAAGUCGGGCCCAAAUUUAGUCAUCCUCUUCUAGAUGCAGAUGAUCCCGCUGAGAUUUCUUGCUCCCUAUCUCUUGUCACUGCUUCCAUUUAUCUGCUAGCUGAGCUACCUGAGUUUUGUGCCAAAACAAGUCAACCAGCUAGCUGCUUUGUGCUGUUAAUGUUCUUUUACCUGAAGAAGCAGCUGAAGGUACAGCUACACCUAGAAAUGGAUGUUCCUACAUAAGGAUCACUGAAAAACUACUUGACCAAAGGCACUGGGACAGCAGAACCUCCUGAGGUAGGCAGACCAUGCAACGACCGCGCACCAGGAAACAUCCGAUGGCAAAAGCGGCAUUACAGAGGGAAGGCAAAGUUCCCAGGAAAUGGUGCAAAAUGCUAUCAGAAAACACAGGAACUGAAUCUUAACAACACGGACAUGUGAAAAGGAAGAAGAAGAAACAAUGAACUGUGUAUGAAGGAAAAAAAUCCCGGGAAGUCCUACAAUUACCCUUCUGAGGAAGGGAAAACUGUUAAAAUACAGCACUCAAAGCCACUCAGAUACAGUGAGACAUGAGCUGCAGAUAGGAUAGCACAGUCAUAAAACUGGGCUGUAUCUUAUCAUACAGAAAUUGAAAAGAAGCAAGUUUUCACAUGAGAUGUGGAGCACUGCCUUAGCACCAGUGUGUGAAGGACCAUGAAGACAGGCAAGUCUCCACUGUGGAGGGAACAAUCAGAGAAAAAAGAAAAAUUUCAAAGCUAAAGGCUUUCUCUGGGCAAAGGAGAAAAUAACCCCGCUUUUUCACAAGCAUAAAUGUCAGUUUUAGAAAAGCCCCAUCUCAGCCUAUGACUGUUAGAACAAAGAAACAGAAUGAUAAAGGAAGAUUUUUCUAGAGGAAGUCAAGUAAACUCUCUAACAACCAUCACAAAAUAUAGGAGAGUCAGAAACAAGCAUUUACCUUCCUGGAGGGGCACGUCAAACACCAAAUUGCUGCGUCGGUGACAAGGAAGGUGAUUUCCUAUACAAAACCAAUGUGUGUCUUUCCACACACACCCUUUUUCCUGUUCUGGUAUAUUAUCCCUUCCCCGUUACUUAGCCUGGCUGUCAUUUUUGCUUUACAGCUUAUCUUAUAGUGAAACACUCCCCCAGCUCAAUGGAGGAGACGGUUUAAUACAGCAGAUCACAUGUAUGUUGCUUCCAGCUUGUUCCGCAGGCUCUUCUGUCAGCUUUGGAAGAAGAUACGCCUAUCGUGGUUGCUGAUACCGCUUCAGUGCUCCACUGUGGCACACUUCAGAUAGCCUGGUGGCAGGGCAGAGCUGAUCCUGCCCGCCAGGAGAUAAGGACUGCUCAUUACUCACAAAAACAAAAAACAAGAAAAGAACCAGAGGAAGGAGUUGGCAGCGGCGUCCCAGAGCAGCACAAGGUGCAGCUCCCUGCAGACAGCUGGGAGCUGGCAGUUUCUCAGCAGGAGUCUUUGAGGUGGAGAGCUGCUUCUCUGCAGCACUGCCACCCUCCGGCUCAGGGGGAAAACUUGCUUUUGCUAGCAGAGAAGCAUCACCGAGCUCGGAGCUCCUCCAGAUUUAGCACCUUUCUGUCCCACCAGCAAGGACUGCUGGGAGGAAACCUGGAUAAGAAACUUCCCAUCGGUGAGCAGAGGUCAGCAGCUAGGUGAGUUGCUGUCUAGCCGCUAACCAUCAUCUAAUUUAGGGGUACCGAUGUGUCCAGCUCAUCCAGCCAAGACUGCAGAUGCCAGCUAGUCACCACCUCAGUCCUCUGAUGCCACCAGCUAACCAAGGCAGAAGCAGGAGUCAAAUAACUUGUACUCUGUUACAUAAACUUUCUUUCUGGGUCUAGGGGUGCAUGCUAGCCAGCACUCUGGAAGAUGUUGUCCCAGGUCCCCAAAAUGGCACGUGUAGAGAUCACGAGACAAGAACUCCUCUGAUGAACAAUUAAAAAGGAGUGACUUCCCACAAGGCGCCGUGACUAUAUUUAGCUCAGAGGGAAAUUCCCUUUCUGAAUUCUCUCUGUACUGGUUCACACAGAUGACUAAGUGGUUGUAAUAUACAACAUCAAGUGAUGCAGGCUGGCAAACCCCAAGUUCACCUGUCACAAAAGAUCUUUAAAAAUGCUGCUGAGAUUUUAAAUCUCAUUUAGCUGAAGACAGCUCAGCACUGGGAAGCCUGCUCACACUGCAACCCAAAGCAGUAAGAGUAGACAUCCGCAUGUACAUCAUCCAAAAUACAAGGAUAGAUGGUAGCCAUUUUUAGAAAGGGUCGAACGCUGUUUUCCUAUUUUGUGGGCUUUUAAUGGUAAUUUUCACAAUAACUUACAAAUUUGCUGUUACACACAUUAUAGAUCCAUUUAGUAAUGAAAAAUGUAAGUUAAGUCAGCUCUCGGUUGAGAAACUGUUGUAAAAAUGUCCUUGCUAAGGUCUGGUAUCUACUCCCGCAGUUUUGUAUUAAUGCAGGCAGCCAAGCAAGUUUCUCAUGCCAAACCAGUCGAACCUGCUGGCCCUGCCCCAGCCUGCACAUCCUAGAGCUUGUUCUCUGCUCGAACCAAGGUGAGGACCUGGAAGCUUCAGAGUGCUGAGGGAGGUGGACUUACAGUGCAGCAGCUGCAGGGCUCCAGCAUGACUAAGGCAGGAAGAGGAUGGCUUGCUCCAACCCUUUGCACGGCAGCAAUCCAGCCUCUCUCAAAGGGAUACCGCUGGGUGCAUCGCAGCUCCCAGUUAGCUGAUGUCUGGAGGCCCGUGGUUCAGCACAGCUCCGUGUUCUGCUCCAAAGGCCAGGGCUAGGAUAGCAAGCAUGCUGCGGCUUGGUGCAAAGUGCUGUGGCACAACGCUAGAUGGCAACUAGUACACGUGACACUACGCCAGCAUUACCAGACCCUCGUGUCUAGGCGUAACAAAUUCACCCACAGGAUUCUGCUCAAGGAAAGAUAGAUAUGGAGACCUGAGCCCAAAACACAAACAGUGGAACAGACCAAAGCUGGAGAACUCCAGGUGCUCAGCUCUACUAGUCCUCAGCAGAGGAGAGGAAACAAAUCGAAAGGUACUACAGCUUUGAGGUUUUCCACCUGAGCUGUUUCCAUCAUCUCAACAAUUCACCUCUUAAAAUAAAACUUGCUUUACAGAA